GAUGAACGCUGGCGGCGUGCCUAAUACAUGCAAGUCGAGCGAACAGAUGAGGAGCUUGCUCCUCUGACGUUAGCGGCGGACGGGUGAGUAACACGUGGAUAACCUACCUAUAAGACUGGGAGAACUUCGGGAAACCGGAGCUAAUACCGGAGAAUAUAUCGAACCGCAUGGUUCAAUAGUGAAAGACGGUUUUGCUGUCACUUAUAGAUGGAUCCGCGCCGCAUUAGCUAGUUGGUAAGGUAACGGCUUACCAAGGCAACGAUGCGUAGCCGACCUGAGAGGGUGAUCAGCCACACUGGAACUGAGACACGGUCCAGACUCCUACGGGAGGCAGCAGUAGGGAAUAUUGCGCAAUGGGCGAAAGCCUGAUGGAGCCAUGCCGCGUGAGUGAUGAAGGUCUUCGGAUUGUAAAACUCUGUUAUUAGGGAAGAAAAAAUGUGGAUGUAACCCUGGCCGUCUUGACGGUACCUAAAGAGAAAGCACCGGCUAACUUCGUG
rnacentral:rRNA from 1 species